AUUUUUAAUGGCCGCGGUAUUUUGACCGUGCAAAGGUAGCAUAAUCAUUAGUUUAUUAAUUGUGAACUUGUAUGAAUGGUUGGACGAAAUAUUGACUGUCUCUUAUUUAUUUGUAAAAUUUAAAAUUUGAGUUAAAAUGCUUAAAUUUUAUUAUGGGACGAGAAGACCCUAUAGAUCUUUAUUUUUUAUUAUUUAUUUAUUUUUUGUUUAUAUAUUUUUGUUAUUUAAUAUUUUUUUUAGUUGGGGCGAUUUAAGGAAUUGAUUAACUCUUUAUUUUAUUAUUCAAAUUUAUUUGUUUAUUUGACCUUUUAUUAUUGUUAUAAGAUUUAGAUACCUUAGGGAUAACAGCGUAAUUUUAAUUAAGAGUUCAUAUCGAAAUUAAAGAUUACGACCUCGAUGUUGGAUUAAGAUUAAUAUUAGGUGUAGGUGCUUGAAUAUUAAGUCUGUUCGACUUUUAAAAUCUUACAUGAUCUGAGU
rnacentral:rRNA from 1 species